rnacentral:rRNA from 1 species
GACGAACGCUGGCGGCGUGCCUAAUACAUGCAAGUCGAACGCAUUUUCUUUCACCGUAGCUUGCUACACCGAAAGAAAAUGAGUGGCGAACGGGUGAGUAACACGUUGGUAACCUGCCCAUCAGCGGGGGAUAACACUUGGAAACAGGUGCUAAUACCGCAUAAUUCCAUUUACUGCAUGGUAGAUGGAUGAAGGGCGCUUUUGCGUCACUGAUGGAUGGACCCGCGGUGCAUUAGCUAGUUGGUGGGGUAACGGCCUACCAAGGCUGCGAUGCAUAGCCGACCUGAGAGGGUGAUCGGCCACACUGGGACUGAGACACGGCCCAGACUCCUACGGGAGGCAGCAGUAGGGAAUCUUCGGCAAUGGACGCAAGUCUGACCGAGCAACGCCGCGUGAGUGAAGAAGGUUUUCGGAUCGUAAAACUCUGUUGUUAGAAAAGAACAAGGAUGAGAGUGGAAAGUUCAUCCCUUGACGGUAUCUAACCAGAAAGCCACGGCUAACUACGUG